AGGAUUAUAGUUUAAUGAAAACAUUUAAUUUGCUUUUAAAAAAUAUUAAAAUAUAAAUUAAUCUUA
rnacentral:tRNA from 1 species